rnacentral:rRNA from 1 species
CAAAGGAAUUGACGGGACCGCACAAGCGGUGGAUGAUGUGGUUUAAUUCGAUGCAACGCGAAAACCUUACCCACCUUUGACAUGGCAGGAAUCCUAAAGAGAUUUGGGAGUGCUCGAAAGAGAACCUGCACACAGGUGCUGCAUGGCUGUCGUCAGCUCGUGUCGUGAGAUGUUGGGUUAAGUCCCGCAACGAGCGCAACCCUUGCCAUUAGUUGCUACGAAAGGGCACUCUAAAUGGGACUGCCGGUGACAAACCGGAGGAAGGUGGGGAUGACGUCAAGUCCUCAUGGCCCUUAUAGGUGGGGCUACACACGUCAUACAAUGGUCGGUACAGAGGGUUGCCAACCCGCGAGGGGGGAGCUAAUCCCACAAAGCCGAUCGUAGUCCGGAUCGCAGUCUGCAACUCGACUGCGUGAAGUCGGAAUCGCUAGUAAUCGUGGAUCAGCAUGUCACGGUGAAUACGUUCCCGGGUCUU